rnacentral:lncRNA from 1 species
GCAGGAGAAUCGCUUGAACCCAGAAGGCGAAGGUUGCGGUGAGCAGAGAUCGCGCCAUUGCACUCCAGCCUGGACAACAAAGCAAGACUCCAUUUCAUUUCCAUUUUUUUUUUUUUGAGACAGAGUCUCGCUCUUGUUGCCCAGGCUGGAGUGCAAUGGCACGAUCUCAGCUCACCGCAACCACCGCCUCCCGGGUUCAAGCGAUUCUCCUGCCUCAGCCUCUCGAGUAGCUGGGAUUACAGGUAUGCACCACCUUGCCUGGC